UACGGCCACAUCACGUUGAAACACAGAUUCCGUACGAUCACCGAAGUUAAGCAACGUCGAGCCUGGUCAGUACCUAGAUGGUUGACCGCUUGGGAAUACCAGGUGCUGUAAG